GCAAGUCGAGCGCUACCUUUGGGUGGAGCGGCGGACGGGUUAGUAACGCGUGGGAAUAUACCCUUCUCUACGGAAUAGCCUCGGGAAACUGAGAGUAAUACCGUAUACGCCCUUCGGGGGAAAGAUUUAUCGGGAAAGGAUUGGCCCGCGUUAGAUUAGAUAGUUGGUGGGGUAACGGCCUACCAAGUCUACGAUCUAUAGCUGGUUUUAGAGGACGAUC
rnacentral:rRNA from 1 species